UGACUACGUAAAUAUGAUGACUAAUAUUGUUUUCGUUUCUUUUAAGUGCUGAAACUACCAUCAUACACAAGGCAUCCUUCAUUAAAGAUUGAACAAUUUCUUUGUUUACAUGGUCCGUUUCCCCCUUCGUUUCUUUCAGUUAUCCUGCGUUUGUUUGAUGUUUGAGUUUAUUCUAUUUCAGUAAAAGAAUUUCUGUCAUGCUUCCAAAUUUUUUGCUCUCUGCAUUAGGGGAGGGUGUGGGGCAGUGAUAGACUCUUAUCACACCUACAUACCCUAGAAGGACCCAGAAGAAUGUAGAAGAAAAUUCAGUUAGACAUAUUCAGUUACAGGCAGGGGUAUUGUGGGAAAUAUGGUGAGAUAGGAUGCCUAUAAAUGUGAGAAAGGUCAGUCUGGGAAAGGGGGAGAAAAGGGAGGAGAAGAAAGUGUGGAGAGACUAGCCCUCUCGAAUGGCUAUGUGUUUUCUUUUUUCAGUAGUGUAGUUUCAUCAAUAAAAUACAGCAUUUCAUUUCUAUUCUAGUAUUGUUCAUUCACUGGAGCCGGGAUCCUAACAAAAUGGUAUCAGAGCAACCAUUCUGGCCCUGGGGUAUUACAUUUGAUGAAGAAAAGCAACUUGAAGAUAGAGUCGAUAAAUUAGAGGCGAAAAUUGAUGGGAUUCAAUUGAAAGUAAAGGAAGAUCUGGAAACACUAAAAUAUGACAUUAAGAAGGUGAUGUCUAUCAUGAUGGAGAAGCUUGAUCUGAUGAUGGGAUAAUUGGGUCAGGCAGGAGCAGAAAAAGGUCAGGCAAUUACAUUACCUGAAUUGGAUGAAAUUGGGGCAAUUACCCUUGAAUCGGAUGAAACUGGGGUUAUUACUGAUAGCCAUAAAUCGCGAGAAGAACCGGGUAAGUCGGAGGCACGCAAUUGUAGGCUGAGAAUGCUGGUUUCGGAAGGAAUUGCAACUCCAUUGCAGGCAAUCUCAGAUGUAGUGAAGGAAGUGGAUCAGUAGGAGCAUGAAGGGAAAGUGAAAGGACGGGCAGCUACCCCGUCUAAAGCCACCUUCAAUUCUGAUAUCCUAUCUAAACCUGGUGAAAUUGGAGCUACUCCAGGCGGCAGGAUUUGCAGGGAGUACCAGAAGCCGUUCGAGGUCAUGGCCGUUCUUUUGCCAACCGAGGAAUUGGAUGGUAGUCUCGUUUAGGGGCUGAAAUCAUGGGAUAUGGUUGAGGUCACGAGUUUGCCUAUAGGUGUGGGCCAAAAUAUGGAGAUAGUCCAAGGGGUUGAAGACAAGAAUGAAAAGAAGCAGGCCCAAUUAAAUUUUGGCCCAUUUAAACCUAAAGUUAAUACCUAUAACCCUAGCCCAAAAUUCCCCAAUUUCUCUGUCCACACAUGUAACCCAGUUUACCAGGUACCACAUCAAACAAACUCAAUCAACACCAAAUCCACGGCCACCUCCAUGUUCUGUCCGUCCACGAUAAAAGGAAGACAUCCAUUUGAAACGUUGAAAGACAUUGAGUUAGAUGGGAAGAGGGGGCUAUGUUAUCGAGAUGAUGAGAAAUACAUUCCAGGUCAUCGUUGUCGAAACAAGGAGCUACAGGUUUUGAUGGUACAAGUGGUAGAAGGGAGUAAUCAAUUGAAAGUUCAAAAAAGUGAUUUUAGGGGGUAUUCCAUGUUGUUCACGAGGGAUUUGGUGCCUUGCAAAGUGGGUUGGAAUGAAUCUAAUCAGAGGGGCCAUGGGACUUUACUACCAAACAACGAGACACGAGAAAUAGUUCGGGAUAUCAAUGAUAAUAAAUUUGGAUGGGAAGGUGGCUACAAAAGUGGAGAGAUUUUUAACACCAUCAAUUGUGUGGAGGACACUGAUACAUUAGGGUUGUUAAUUAAUCCAAUUGUUGCACAAGAAGAGGGGGUUGUGGAGUUGAUCGAUUAUGCUACCUUCUACUAUGGUACUCCAAUUCGCCAGUUUCAUUUUCUCGAAAAUUUGCUAAGGUGUGCGACCGGUUAUGGGGUUUUAAUGGACAAUAUACUACUCGUAGUUAAUCACUUUGCCAAAUUUUUCGGGUUGAAUUAUCUCUUCUUUGCUCUUAUCUUGACUAGGAUUGGUCCAAGCUUUCACCUUGAGGACAAGGUGAAUUUCAGGGGGCGAGUAAUGAUAGACUCUUAUCACACCUACAUACCCUAGAAGGACCCAGAAGAAUGUAGAAGAAAAUUCAGUUAGACAUAUUCAGUUACAGGCAGGGGUAUUGUGGGAAAUAUGGUGAGAUAGGAUGCCUAUAAAUGUGAGAAAGGUCAGUCUGUGAAAGGGGGAGAAAAGGGAGGAGAAGAAAGUGUGGAGAGACUAGCCCUCUCGAAUGGCUGUGUUUUCUUUUUCAGUAGUGUAGUUCUCAGUUUCAUUAAUAAAAUACAGCAUUUCAUUUCUAUUCUAGUAUUGUUCAUUCACUGGAGCUGGGAUCCUAACAGGCAGGCUAUGUUAAAUCGUGACUUCCGGAAGAGACCAAUUGCAGAUGCUGUUCUGAGCCAUCGGUUCAUGGCUGGUGACUUCCUUUAAGUUGAUUCAGAAGGAUACAUCCCAAAUAUUUUGUAUACAAUUGAGAUCUGAAGAGGCAAGCUUCUCAAGUACAAAAAACUGAUGGGAUGAAGACACUAAAGUCUGUAACCCCUGAGGGUAUUUUGGAAUUUUUAGUUAUUAAAGAUUGCUUUAAGAAGAGUUGAAAAAGUAAGGUGUUUGUUCAUUUUGUCUAUCUACGUUAGGCAUCUUUCUCAUUUAUCAUAAUUCAUUGCUUUAAGAAGAGUUGAAAAAGUAAGCUGUUUGUUCAUUUUGUCUGUCUACUUUAGGCAUCUUUCUCACUUUUCACAAUUCAUUGCUUCAGCAAAGCAUUAUUUGCCAAUAAGAGGUUGAUGAUGGACCAAGAGAAAAGUUGCCAAAAACUUUUAUUUUCGAACAUGUUUGGAUUAGCUUAAAUGCUAUAAAUGUUGCUAAAUUAUGUUCAA